rnacentral:lncRNA from 1 species
GAACUCUUUUCCUAUAAAUAUAGGAUGUCUAACACCCUCUUCAAGACUCACUAAGAUAGCAAACAUCAUCUAUACCUUUCCUACUCAUUUAAAAAAAUGACUGCAAAUCUUUCCAUCACGAGCCAAGAUGACAGCAGACAUUUCUAAAUAGGUGGACAAUCCAAGCAGCAUGUAAUGAGAGGGCCGGGUGAUUUGCUUGAUUCACCGUGCUAAAAUCAAUACAAUCAAAGGUAUGCAGUUAUAAAGUGUAUGCACAUGUUUUUUGUAUUGCAUAUAGCUAAAGUAAUACCAUGUAUAUAGUUUUCUAAUACCAUAGAAUUUUUCUUAGGUGAAAAUCAAUUUCAAAUGCUUUUGACAUGUCUUUGUUGGCAAUCAAGCAAAACUAUUCUGCUAUCCAAGAUUUUGUAACUAAGUUAGUGUAUUAAGAAGAUAAAAUCAUUUUGUGAGAAUUUAAUAAAUACGAUAUUGAUUUAAUUUUCUCUUAUUUUCUACUUUGCCAAAGAAGGAAUAUCCUGCGUUUUAGUUGAUAAGGGCUAACAUCAUCAGUCUACAUGUUACAAUAACAUGAUCAUCACGUGCUCAUUGGGUUUUAGUUUCUAAAAGAAAAAAAAAAAGAAUAAGAGAAAUUAAAGCAGAUACACUAAAAUUACCUUCUUGCUCAUCCCAUUAAAGCAAAGAACAAGUGAUGGAUGGAAACUAUUAUGGGACGAAAAAUUUCAAACAUAAAAAGGAUGAGACGGGUUUCCAGUUACCAAAUGGACAUUUCUAAAAGAGCAUUAUAGA